rnacentral:rRNA from 1 species
AAUGAACGCUGGCGGCAGGCCUAACACAUGCAAGUCGAACGAGUGGCGGACGGGUGAGUAAUGUCUGGGAAACUGCCUGAUGGAGGGGGAUAACUACGGGAAACGGUAGCUAAUACCGCAUACCAUCGGAUGUGCCCAGAUGGGAUUAGCUAGUAGGUGGGGUAACGACUCACCAAGGCGACGAUCCCUAGCUGGUCUGAGAGGAUGACCAGCCACACUGGAACUGAGACACGGUCCAGACUCCUACGGGAGGCAGCAGUAGGGAAUAUUGCACAAUGGGCGCAAGCCUGAUACAGCCAUGCCGCGUGUAUGAAGAAGGCCUUCGGGUUGUAAAGUACUUUCAGCGGGGAGGCGUUACUCACAGAAGAAGCACCGGCUAACUCCGUGCCAGCAGCCGCGGUAAUUC